rnacentral:rRNA from 1 species
CCUACGGGUGGCAGCAGUGAGGAAUAUUGGUCAAUGGGCGCUAGCCUGAACCAGCCAAGUAGCGUGAAGGAUGAAUGCCCUAUGGGUUGUAAACUUCUUUUAUAUGGGAAUAAAGUGCAGUAUGUAUCCUGCUUUGCAUGUACCUUACUAAUAAGGAUCGGCCAACUCCGUGCCGGCAGCCGCGGUAAUACGGAGGGUGCGAGCGUUAAUCGGAAUUACUGGGCGUAACGCGACCGUAGGCGGUAUGUCAAGUCAAGGGUGAAUUACCCGCGCUCAACGUGGGAACUGCAUUUGAAACUGGCAAACUGGAGUGUGUGAGAGGAUAGUGGAAUUCCAGGUGUAGGAGUGAAAUGCGUAGAUAUCUGGAGGAACAUCAGUGGCGAAGGCGACUAUCUGGCACAUAACUGACGCUGAGGAGCGAAAGCGUGGGUAGCAAACAGGAUUAGAUACCCGUGUAGUC